rnacentral:lncRNA from 1 species
AUAGAAAGAUAAACAGCAGAGACCCUCUAGGAAGUAGAGAAAUGGAUACUAACUGGUGCAAAAGAGUGAUCCCAGAUAAUGGAUGGCAUAGGUAAAAUUAAGAACUAGAGUAAAAGGAUUGAGGGGAGCAGCCCAAAUCUGAAGUUUUUUUGUUUUGUUUUGGGGCCAAACCUGUGGCAUAUGGAAGUUCCCAGGCUACGGAUUAAAUCAGAGCUAUAGCUGCUGGCCUGCACCACAGCCACAGCAACGCCAGAUAUGAGCUGCAUCUAGCGACCUCCACCACAGCUCUUGGCAAUGCUGGAUCCCCAACCCGCUGAGUGGGGCCAAGGAUCGAACCCACAUUCUCAUGGAUACUAGUCAGGUUCGUUUCCACUGAGCCACAACAGGAACUCCCUGGAAAGCUCUUAAAUGAACUAUUUAUUAACUAUUCUUUGCCUCUCCUCAUUCUCCUGCUUCUUCCUAAUAUAGUCAUAACUUGGGACAAGAUGUGAUCACAGACAUUGCAUGAAAUGUGGUGACAUUCCUAAUAGGAUAUGAUACAGAUCAGAUGGGGAGGAGAUCGGAAGCGGGGAGGGUAGGGAAUCUGCUUGUGGGAAUCUGCUGGGUUUUGAAUGGGCUUGAGAUUGCUCCCAAAGAAAUGAGAGUUUCUGAGGGAAACAAUGGAAGGUGAGGGAAUGGGUCCUGAGGAGAUCAGGGCAACACAGGCUUUCGAGAGAGAACGGGAAAUCAGACUGGAUGGGCCCAUUGACAGACCCAAUCUGCCAAUGGAAUGAAGACUCCAAAUGGUAAAAAAGAACUGGGAGACACUCAGGGGUUAUUUAGGAGGGGGCUGACAUAAAGAAUGAUCUUUAAAAUUCAUCAAGCAGUUAAAGAGCUAGGAAGGUCACAGAGGAGAACUCUGCACUGAAAUAAUGUCUUCCUUUGUUCCUUGUCUGGUCCUGGUAGCUGUAGAUGUUACUUAAUCCAACCCUGGCACUCAAGACUGCAGAGACUGCCCACUCCAUAGCUAUAAGCUAGCUUCCCACAGCUCAUACCUAAGAUCACCUAAGAUACCUAAGUUUUAUCUUCAAGGAUCAAUAGAAGGCCCUGCAGAUUGACUAGGGCCAGGAAA